rnacentral:snoRNA from 1 species
ACGUCUCUUGCCUCGCUCGAUCAGAUGUUAUUCAUCAUCUAAUCUUGAGCUGGAUACACCAUCUUCCUCUGGGAAACGGUAGUACGAGACAAGAAUAACCCUACCGAUGAUCUUUGAGUACGGUUCUAUCUGAGUAUUGCCCUACAGAUCUUCAUCGUAAUUUAUCAAUCGGUACACCU